CCUACGGGAGGCAGCAGUGGGGAAUAUUGCACAAUGGGGGAAACCCUGAUGCAGCAACGCCGCGUGAGUGAAGAAGUAUUUCGGUAUGUAAAGCUCUAUCAGCAGGGAAGAAAAUGACAGUACCUGACUAAGAAGCCCCGGCUAACUACGUGCCAGCAGCCGCGGUAAUACGUAGGGGGCAAGCGUUAUCCGGAUUUACUGGGUGGAAAGGGAGCGUAGACGGCUGCGCAAGUCAGAAUUGAAAGCCCGGGGCUCAACCGCGGGACUGCUUUUGAAACUGUGUAGCUCGAGUGCAGGAGAGGUAAGUGGAAUUCCUAGUGUAGCGGUGAAAUGCGUAGAUAUUAGGAGGAACACCGGUGGCGAAGGCGGCUUACUGGACUGUAACUGACGUUGAGGCUCGAAAGCGUGGGGAGCAAACAGGAUUAGAUACCCGUGUAGUC
rnacentral:rRNA from 1 species